GACCCGAAAGAUGGUGAACUAUGCCUGAGCAGGACGAAGUCAGAGGAAACUCUGAUGGAAGUCCGUAACGAUUCUGACGUGCAAAUCGAUCGAUAGACUUGGGUAUAGGGGGGAAAGACUAAUCGAACCAUC
rnacentral:ncRNA from 1 species